rnacentral:rRNA from 1 species
UACGUAGGGUGCGAGCGUUGUCCGGAAUUAUUGGGCGUAAAGAGCUUGUAGGCGGUUUGUCGCGUCUGCCGUGAAAUUUCGGGGCUCAACCCCGAACUUGCGGUGGGUACGGGCAGACUAGAGUGUGGUAGGGGAGACUGGAAUUCCUGGUGUAGCGGUGAAAUGCGCAGAUAUCAGGAGGAACACCGAUGGCGAAGGCAGGUCUCUGGGCCACUACUGACGCUGAGAAGCGGAAAGCAUGGGGAGCGAACAGG